rnacentral:rRNA from 1 species
AUUGAACGCUGGCGGCAUGCCUUACUCAUGCAAGUCGAACGGUAACAGGUCUUCGGAUGCUGACGAGUGGCGAACGGGUGAGUAAUACAUCGGAACGUGCCCAGACGUGGGGGAUAACGAGGCGAAAGCUUUGCUAAUACCGCAUACGAUCUAAGGAUGAAAGCAGGGGACCGCAAGGCCUUGCGCGUUUGGAGCGGCCGAUGGCAGAUUAGGUAGUUGGUGGGAUAAAAGCUUACCAAGCCGACGAUCUGUAGCUGGUCUGAGAGGACGACCAGCCACACUGGGACUGAGACACGGCCCAGACCCCUACGGGAGGCAGCAGUGGGGAAUUUUGGACAAUGGGCGAAAGCCUGAUCCAGCAAUGCCGCGUGCAGGAUGAAGGCCUUCGGGUUGUAAACUGCUUUUGUACGGAACGAAAAGGCUCUGGCUAAUACCUGGGGCACAUGACGGUACCGUAAGAAUAAGCACCGGCUAACUACGUG